UACGGGGGGAGCAAGCGUUGUUCGGAUUUACUGGGCGUAAAGGGCGCGUAGGCGGCCACCGCAAGUCGAUUGUGAAAUCCCCGGGCUCAACCUGGGAACUGCAUCUGUGACUGCAUCGCUGGAGUGCGGCAGAGGGGGAUGGAAUUCCGCGUGUAGCAGUGAAAUGCGUAGAUAUGCGGAGGAACACCGAUGGCGAAGGCAAUCCCCUGGGCCUGCACUGACGCUCAUGCACGAAAGCGUGGGGAGCAAACAGG
rnacentral:rRNA from 1 species